UACGAACGCUGGCGGCGUGCUUAACACAUGCAAGUCGAACGAAGAGCGAUGGAAGCUUGCUUCUAUCAAUCUUAGUGGCGAACGGGUGAGUAACGCGUAAUCAACCUGCCCUUCAGAGGGGGACAACAGUUGGAAACGACUGCUAAUACCGCAUACGAUCUAACCUCGGCAUCGAGGAUAGAUGAAAGGUGGCCUCUACAUGUAAGCUAUCACUGAAGGAGGGGAUUGCGUCUGAUUAGCUAGUUGGAGGGGUAACGGCCCACCAAGGCGAUGAUCAGUAGCCGGUCUGAGAGGAUGAACGGCCACAUUGGGACUGAGACACGGCCCAGACUCCUACGGGAGGCAGCAGUGGGGAAUCUUACGCAAUGGACGAAAGUCUGACGGAGCAACGCCGCGUGAGUGAUGACUGCCUUCGGGUUGUAAAGCUCUGUUAAUCGGGACGAAAGGCCUUCUUGCGAAUAGUUAGAAGGAUUGACGGUACCGGAAUAGAAAGCCACGGCUAACUACGUG
rnacentral:rRNA from 1 species